AUUGAACGCUGGCGGCAGGCCUAACACAUGCAAGUCGAGCGAGCGGCGGACGGGUGAGUAAUGUCUGGGAAACUGCCUGAUGGAGGGGGAUAACUAUUGGAAACGGUAGCUAAUACCGCAUACCAUCGGAUGUGCCCAGAUGGGAUUAACUAGUGGGUGGGGGAAAGGCUAACCUAGGCGCCGAUCCCUAGCUGGUCUGAGAGGAUGACAAGCCACACUGGAACUUGGACACGGUCCAGACUCCUACGUGAGGCAGCAGUGGGGAAUAUGGCACAAUGGGCGCAAGCCUGAUGCAGCCAUGCCGCGUGUAUGAAGAAGGCCUUCGGGUUGUAAAGUACUUUCAGCGGGGAGGCGUUACCCGCAGAAGAAGCACCGGCUAACUCCGUGCCAGCAGCCGCGGUAAUAC
rnacentral:rRNA from 1 species